rnacentral:rRNA from 1 species
UAAGACGAACCGUGCGAACGUUAUUCGGAAUCACUGGGCUUAAAGCGCGUGUAGGCGGAAACGUACGUCUGUCGCUGAAAUCCCCCGGCUCAACCGGGGAAGUGGCGCGGAUACGGCGUUUCUGGAGGGGCGUAGGGGGACCUGGAACUUCCGGUGGAGCGGUGAAAUGCGUUGAGAUCGGAAGGAACGCCCGUGGCGAAAGCGAGGUCCUGGACGCCUACUGACGCUGAGACGCGAAAGCUAGGGGAGCGAACGGGAUUAGAUACCCCGGUAGUCCUAGCCGUAAACGAUGGGCACUGGGUAGGGGGCUCGCCGAUGGGCCCCCUGCCGUAGCGAAAGCGUGAAGUGCCCCGCCUGGGGAGUAUGGUCGCAAGGCUG